CCUGCCCUUCUGUUCCUCCAAACCUGUGCUGCUAAGACAUGAAAGGAGGAGGCUGGACAGUGGAACUAUGGAAAAACCAUCUUCACAAAGCCCAUCAGCAGUUGUGCUGAUGACAUCAAGGAUGGGGAGUUUUGCUGCAUGGACAGGAGCCAGGCAGUCCUUGGGGACAGGAGUUGCUCCUCUCCUUCCUUUAUCUACUGUGUUUACAGAGACAGACAAGGAUCAGUCUCGCAGGCUAAAAGAGAAGCAUGAGGAUCAACAAAUGUAAGGACCUGGCAAAUAUGGACAGUUUGGGAAAGAGCCAGUCAUCUUCCACCAAAUCAUGGAUGGUAUUCUUUUCUUUGCUGCAGUCUUUUUUCUCUAAGUGAACUUCAGAAGCAUCCAGGUUACCAUUUUGCCUGUGUUCACCGUGGCUGGCCAGCAGCUGUUUUGGUAGCAAGGAACAGAACGAGCUGUGUGCUCUCCUCCACACCCGUGUACAGGCGUGCUGGGAUCUGCGUGGCUGAGGCAUUUCCUUCCAGGGCUCAGUGGGCAGGUUACCCAGUCAUUUGGGCUGAGAGGCAUGAGGGCAGGGCAGGACGGACCUGGCCAGACUUGCCCUCUUCCUUUUGCACUGCACUCACAGAGGACUGUAAGAGAAAGGAAGAGGUUUUUGUACUCAAAACUGAAAGAAAACAUCUCCCUGAACCUACCAAUAUUAUUUUUUUAUGAUCUCGAGCAUUGCUGUAGCCUUCUGCACCUCUAAAUUAACACUUGCAAAUCAUGUGGAGGUGCUCAUAAGGUGACUUAUUUGACUUUUGGUUUCCAGUAAUUUAAUUUUAUUGUUAAAUAUGUAACAUACUGCUUUGUCUUUGACAAAAACAUGUAGCUGCAAAGGAGAGAAUUUUUCACCAGUAGGGAUGAAAUGCCUUGUACCAGGCUGCAGUAGAACUUCACCCAUCCUCUACCACCCUGCCAAGGUCACAGGUGGCUGAGCAGGCGUGGGGUCAGGGCUGCCUCCACACUGGGGAAGAAGCACCUCAUGCCCCAGCUUUGUCUUCCAUCAGCCUCUUUGGCAAGGAAGGGAUUUUUCCUUUGCUUGGAUUCAUGCCAAAGAAAGAAAAUAUUUCUCCCAACAGCACCCAGGAGCUACAGAGGCUUUGAGGACAGGCAGUUCUGCCUCACUUAGGACCAGCAGUCUCUGUUACAGCACUUGAUUUUAUGCUGUUUUUAAAAUGUUUGCAAUGUUUUAUGCAUUUGUCUGUCUUUCCUUAACCAAAAUAUAGAAGUGUGUAAAUAGGAAAGGAGAGGCAGAGAGAGUCCAUCAAAGACCUUGUACAACUAAUGCCAAAGGAGCAGCUGUGUGGGGUGAUGUGAAUUGGUAUAUGAGGAGGUGCUUUCUUUUCAUAAUGGUUUGGGGUUUUCUGAUUUUGGUUUUUUGGUGGGUUUUUUUGGUGGUGGGUUUUUUGGUUUUUUUUUUGUUUGUUUGUUUGGUUGUUUGGUUGGUUUUGAGGGGUUUUUUGUUGGUUUUGGUGAUUUUUUUUAAUGGCUAAUACAUUUGUUGCUGAAGGUUUAUUUUUAGCUAGAAGAGAAAUCAUUGUUAUGCCAUGGCAACCAGAACUCGGAGUUACUGGCUGUGAAGGGAGGCCUGGAAAAUCAUUACUUAUAGUCAUAAAUGACUAAUACUGCCAAAGGAUUUGAAAAAUGGGUGGGAUGUUCUGCUGGAGUUGUGAGGAAAUAAGUCUUUCCCUUUUGAGAUGCAAUAAAACUCUCCUGCAACCCGUGCUUGAGGAUCCAGCUGCAAUGCUGAGCUGAUCAGCUGGGUAGGUUUUUCCCCUUCCUCACAGGGGUUUGUUUAAUGUGUGCUGAGCCAAGUCCUGGCUGCAGAGCUCCUGGUGCUUGUUGGGAUGUUGGGGUCAUCCCUCACAUGUACAGGCAGAACAUCUGGACCUCUCUGGGUCCAGAUGCCCAUCAUGCCUAGUGGUUUUCCAGCAGUGUCAAAGAGAAGAGCUGCACAGAGGCUAACGUGAGCCCCAGA